UCACAUGCCUAACUAUACUAUCACCUGUUUCAUCCUGAUGAGCACCUCUAUAUAAGCUCUAGUUUGUCAGCGUCCCACCAUCAAGCUUUUGUUGUUGCAUUUGUGUGUACUAUAGUUUUGUUCAUAAUCUGCAUGCUUUUGUCCUGUCUUGUCCUGUCUGUUUAGGUUUAUGGUUCUUGUUUUCACACUUUAAGUUGUUUUUGCACUUUAUACAUCUGCUGCCUCUACAAAUCCCUGACACAUUACUUUUUACACUAAAGGAGCCAUGUUUUAGCAAGUGUUUACUCAAUGUUUCAGGAUCAGUAUUGGAAAAGAAAAUGUAAUAUUGUAGUAUCUGUAGUAAACAUGCUCACACUUGCCUUGACAAAACACAGAGCAGCUAGGGCUAUCGGAAAAUUCAGUUUCAAACACGUGACGGGCGUUGCCUAAUGAGAGCUUAAAUUUAAAAAAAAAAAAAAAAAAAAAAAAAACUCCAUUGUUUUGCAGUUAUUUGCAGCCGACAACCAUGCAGGAUAUUCAACACAGCAUAAAUGUGUCUGUCAUACCUUUAAAUAUUAACCUCUCAAGAGGUUCUCCGUGCUCAUCUAAAUAUUAACCACUCAAAUUUGCUUUGCUGUUGACUCCCACUCAUUUCCAGCAUGUUUUGUGACUAGUGUGUUCAUGCUUGCAGGUCAGAAUGAUGCCCACCGUUCAACAUCCAAAGGUACAGUAAUACUUGACAUUGACCUGCCGUUACAGUUCAGAGCACACCUGAGUGUACUGAAAGCCAAGCUCAACUGAUUAAACAGGUGGAAUCGGUUGUGGCUCCUGCUUGCUUGGAAUGAAAACCUGCACCCACACCAGCCCUUUCCUGAUAAGAUGGGACACCCCUGGUUUAUACAGUAGUAACCUGUUUUGUUUUUAAGCCCUUCCAGCCCUGCAGAUCCCUUGCUCUGCAAAAUGUAAUAACCUGCUGAUCAGCAUCAGGGGAAGUGAAAUAUUCUAACACAGCAAACAAAUUUCCUGUUUUACUGGAUUAGAUGCAAAGCAAGGUUAUUAUUGUUAACGAAAACAACAAAAACUAUCAGUGUAAAAAAAAAAAGGCAUUCUUGUGAACUGAAAUAAAAAUACAAAUGUGAGUUUACAAAUAAACAAAAACUAAACCACAACUAUAAUGUCCACCUGCAAUAAGAAUGAUAACUAAAUCGAAUUUCCGAUAAUAGAACUUACGAUUUCGUAUUUUAAAUGUUGGGUAGUCUGACUUAAGAACAGAGGUUGAACAGAGUGGAUCCAUCAUUCAGUACGUUUACAUGGACAACAAUAAUCCGAUCUCAACCCGAUUAAGAUGAUACUCUGAUUAAGAAACUACUUGGUAAAAAGUGAUUAUUGAUUACGUUAAUCCGGCUAAAGUCAUACUCUAAGUAAACACAAAUCAAAUUAAUCAAGUGGUUUGGGACGCAGCCGUGCUCUCGUUUGCCGGAAAACGGUUGAGCGCUGCCGUGUGUGAUCGUGUCCUGUCGCAAAAUGCGGUGAAAACUCCCACACAACGUUAAUAGUGUGAUUAAUGUGUUACACAUGUUAUACGUCGAUAAUGCGACUAAAACAGGAGUACUCCACACGUCUUAAAUUCCAUUUGUGUUUACUUCGAGUAUGACUUUAGUCGGAUUAAGGUCAUCAAUAAUCGCUGUUUACAUGCUAGUUUAUUAAUCAGAGCAUUGGUUAAUAUUUUGAUUAUUGUUGUCCAUGUAAACGUACUAACUGUUACAUAAAGCUAUUACAAAAACACCACCCACGAAGUUAUAGCAAAAACGAAGAAAACGUGCACUUUCCCCACGGUGCCUUACUUACAGUUCCGCCCAGAGUGAGCAUUCUCGGCAUAACGUACAUUGCGAACGGCUUUAGCGGACCAGUGCUCAUUAUAUCGAGCGAAAAUAAUGAAAACGAAGCUUGUGAAACAAUAUUAGCUUUGUCCUUUUAGCGGUAAUACUGUUUAGUAUCACCGAAAACAAAAUGAACUUGACUCCUCUUAUAAGAACUCCUUGGUACAGCAGUGGUUUAGUAGCAGUGGAGCACUAACGCCGGAAUAUGCAGCCUCUGGCAAGUAAACAUGAUUUGAUAUUUGUAAAUACAUUUACAAAAAUCAAGGCUUUUACCAUGAUGUUAAAUAAUGUAAAUAAUGUAACCAAAACUGUUUCUUCACCGUUAAAUCUAGCCUAAGUGAAGUACAAACUAUAACCCUGCUGCAAAGUAUUAGUGUAGACCUUCUGUAAGCAUCCACAACCUUACCAACCCUGGUCCCUGCACACUUAGUUUGUGUUGGAGCAGUGAAGUGUGCAGGAGAGGAGAUACUCCAGGACCAGCUGGGGUAAUAGACUGCUCAGACAGUGUUAUAUAGAAAGAAAUACUUGUUGAUGCAUCAAAAAUAAAAAAUAAAAAAAAGAUCAAAUGCACGUUCAAAAAAGUUGAUUCCUACCUUGGCAUUUGCAGGGGUCGUGUCCACUGUCAACAAACAACUAAUACAGGAAACCUACACCCCUACAGACACAUAUCAGUUGCAUGCAACUGUGCAUAACAGCUCUGCAGAAGGCGGGGUUGUGCUGAAAGCUUGCACGAGUUUUUAAACAAUAACAAAACAAGCGUAUGUGGCUUUUAUGCAUCUCUACAGGAAUUGAUUGAUCCUCCGGUGCUUCCAUAUAUACACCCCUCUACAAUAAGUAUACAAUGUUGCUGAUUACUGGGAUCACUAACAUCAUCCUUCUCACUGUUUAAGGUAUGCAUGUCGUCAGGGCCAGAGUUGGACCUAUUUUGAGCCCAAGUCCAGACCUUUUUUUCUUUUUUCAUGGUGGAAGAACUUGGAUAAAUUAAGUGAUAGUUCAGUUCUUACUAUCCCGCUUCAUAGCUUCCUUUAUGAAAGGAUUAUCACUCGCAGUAAGAGUAAAUGGCAAACACACUAUACAGUAGACUUACAGAGAAUGAGUUUUUUCAUUGUAUGUCAGUCACUUGUGGUUGGUUCCAUCCUUGCUGUGAUGAACCUAUGCUAUGGGACGUUUUGGAGGGUGCUGAGGAUGAUGAUACGUUUUCAAUUAUAUUUCUGUUUGUACUAUGUGCUAAUGAUGUCAGAUUCCACUACAAAUCGUUCUUUUGAGUCGAUUCUUAGGAAGUAACCGGUUGAGCGGAUACACAAACUCGAACUGAAUCGAACUUUAGUUCUGGGUUGAUGACGCAAGACGCACAGCCGAAGUAGCACGCUCCGAGGCAUGUCCGACUCCAAAAGAACCGAAUGAGCAGAUUCAACUAACUGUCGAAGUUUGAAUUAUUUAAAACUAUUUGCAAACUAAGGUCUCGAGAAUUUGAAGUAGGCGUUUUACUCGAUGAUGUUACAAUUUCUACAAUUUAAUAUAUUUGUUUUCCAGUUGUGAACAUGGGAUUUUUAUGUUUCAUUAGGCUUAAUGGAUGCCGUUGUUGUGAUGGACAUUUGAAGAAAUCUGAUUUUCUUCCAUUUAUGUAUCAACAACAACGUAGUAGCCUUUGUAACGACAAGCCAGUGUGUAUGCCAUGAGCCUGAGACACAGUUUGAGAUUAAUGAGUUAUUCUUUCUAUAUAAUUUAGACAUGUAGAACAUAUCUGCAUUUGUGCAUCAGUGUCUGUAAUGUGUGCUGCAGGUGCAAAACUUCAAUGUAGGAAACUUGUAAAAGAUGUAGGCUACUCGAUAUUGGUCAGUCGUAUCCAGCAUGAAGGAUCAGCGCAUGAAACUCAUUAACAAACACCAUUAACUUAAGUGAAUGAAAGGCAAUAAUCAGCCAUACGCCUUCACACAAAUGGCUUUAUUGACUGGACAAACUUCUUUAACUCAAACUAGAGCACUGUGAAAAUGCUGAAUUGUAUUCUCAUGUACACAUAUAAUUUUACACAUAUAGCUACACAUCCUGACAUAUUUGCGCGCACUGUAUGAGUUGUAUUGAGUUGCAUAUGCUCAUCUUUUUUCAUCUUCACUUGUCUAUCGUUUUGCCUAUAAGCAUAUAUUCUAUUCUGUUUAGAUAUUUUCAUUUAUUUGUACAUUACAUUCUAUUCUAUAUAUAUAUAUUUAUGAUAACGGAGC
ensembl:lncRNA